rnacentral:lncRNA from 1 species
CUGCCACCAUGCCUGAGAAACCGCUGCAGAUCAUCAGUAGGGGUCUGCUGCCACUCCCAGAGGCCCACUGUGGUCACCAGCGGGGUGGCUGCUGCGGCGCCCAGCAGCCUAGCAGGGAUUGGUCUGCACUGGGGGCUCCGCCGGGGUGCAUGGUGGCCCACUGGGGGUCACAGUUGGGGUCCGCUGCCUCAUCCAGGAGCCUGCUGAUUCUCGCUGGCGGGGGUCCACCGCCACACCUGGGAACCCGCCGUGGCUCGCUGGCAUGGGUCCUCCAUGGCACCUGGGAACUUGCUGUGGCUCGCUGGCAUGGGUCCUCCAUGGCACCUGGCUGCCCUCUGGGGACUGGCUGGCUUGGGGGGUCCGCAGCAGUGCGUGGGACUUGCUGCGGGGUUGCCGGUAUGGUGGGUUCUGCCGCUGCUCCUGGAGAGCCUGGCAUGGCUCUUUGGUGCGGGUCUGCCACCAGGCCCGGGAAACCGCAGCUAUUCACCGGUGAGGUGAACACCCAGAGGCCUGCCGUGGCUCCUCCACUACACCCGGAGGCCUGCCACAGAUUGCUGACGAGGUUCCGCCGCCACACCCCAGAGCCCCCUGAUUCUCACUGGCGGGGGUCUGCUGCUGCACCCAGAGGCCUGCCACGUCUUUCCUAUGUGGGUCCACAGCAGCCCCACCCAGGAGAUUGCAACAGCUCACUGGCAAGGGUGCUCUGCAGCGCCCUGAGGCCCGCAGCGGCUUUCCAGCGGGGGUCUGCUGCCUCUCCUGGGAACUCGCAGCACUGGGAACUCCAGGGAGCAGCAGGCUUGGGGGGGUCCGCAGUGGAGCAUGGGACCCACGGCGGGGUUGCUGGUAUGAGAAUUUACGAAGAUGUCCUACUGCUCUGGGAGAGCUCCCUUGAUGCCGAACUCAGCAUUUUCUUUUUGCAUAAUGCCUACAGAUUCAGAGCCACUGUACUCCCAGUUGUAUAGCUUCUGUAUCCCUGGUUCACUGCUGCUGAAAUACUCGUAAAUCUCCUUUCUUCUAGUGGCUUUGUGCGGCAGCUGGGGCAUGACAAUAAGGUCCCUGAUCUAUAAUUCCAGACAGCCCCUGAGGGUGAGCAGAUCGACCAAUCCUCAUCCCCAACGUAAGCCUGGGGUACUUGAUGUCCCUGGGAGGUAGUUGUCUAAUGCUUUCCAUUUGUAAUCUGUAUGAAACUCUUCUUGAUGCUGGACUGUUGCUCACUUAGAGAAUUAUCCAGUGCAUAGUAUAUAAACACCCACUAGAAAUUGAAUGCAUGUAAAUAAAGCUUGCCUUAAGUCUAGCA